rnacentral:rRNA from 1 species
GACGAACGCUGGCGGCGUGCUUAACACAUGCAAGUCGAACGGAAAGGCCCUGCUUUUGUGGGGUGCGCGCGUGGCGAACGGGUGAGUAACCCUUGAGUAACCUACCCUUGACUUUGCGAUAACUUCAGGAAACUGGGGCUAAUACCGGAUAAGAGCUCCUGCUGCAUGCUGGGGGUUGGAAAGUUUCGGUGGUUGGUUAUGGAUGCGCGGCUUAUCAGCUAGUUGGUGGGGUAGUGUCUUACCAAGCCAUUGCAGGAUAGCCGGCCUGAGAGGGUGACCGGCCAGAGUGGCAAUGAGAUAGGGACCAGACGCAUACGGGAGGGAGCAGGCGGGAAUAAUGAACAAGGGACGGAAGACAGAUGGAGCAACGCCGCGCGCGGGAUGACGGACGUCGGGUUGUAAGCCGCUUUCGACUGUGACGAAGCGUGAGUAACGGUAAUGGGGAAAGAAGCACGGGCUAACUACGU